CCUGGUUGAUUCUGCCAGUAGUCAUAUGCUUGUCUCAAAGAUUAAGCCAUGCAUGUCUAAGUAUAAGCAAUCUAUACUGUGAAACUGCGAAUGGCUCAUUAAAUCAGUUAUCGUUUAUUUGAUAGUACCUUACUACUUGGAUAACCGUGGUAAUUCUAGAGCUAAUACAUGCUAAAAACCCCGACUUCGGAAGGGGUGUAUUUAUUAGAUAAAAAACCAAUGCCCUUCGGGGCUCCUUGGUGAAUCAUGAUAACUUAACGAAUCGCAUGGCCUUGCGCCGGCGAUGGUUCAUUCAAAUUUCUGCCCUAUCAACUUUCGAUGGUAGGAUAGUGGCCUACCAUGGUAGCAACGGGUAACGGGGAAUUAGGGUUCUAUUCCGGAGAGGGAGCCUGAGAAACGGCUACCACAUCCAAGGAAGGCAGCAGGCGCGCAAAUUACCCAAUCCCGACACGGGGAGGUAGUGACAAUAAAUACUGAUACAGGGCUCUUUCGAGUCUUGUAAUUGGAAUGAGUACAAUUUAAAUACCUUAACGAGGAACAAUUGGAGGGCAAGUCUGGUGCCAGCAGCCGCGGUAAUUCCAGCUCCAAUAGCGUAUAUUAAAGUUGUUGCAGUUAAAAAGCUCGUAGUUGAACCUUGGGCCUGGCUGGCCGGUCCGCCUCACCGCGUGUACUGGUCCGGCCGGGCCUUUCCUUCUGGGGAUCCGCAUGCCCUUCACUGGGUGUGCCGGGGAACCAGGACUUUUACUUUGAAAAAAUUAGAGUGUUCAAAGCAGGCCUUUGCUCGAAUACAUUAGCAUGGAAUAAUAGAAUAGGACGUGCGGUCCUAUUUUGUUGGUUUCUAGGACCGCCGUAAUGAUUAAUAGGGAUAGUCGGGGGCAUCAGUAUUCAAUUGUCAGAGGUGAAAUUCUUGGAUUUAUU
rnacentral:rRNA from 1 species